rnacentral:rRNA from 1 species
UACGUAGGGUGCGAGCGUUAAUCGGAAUUACUGGGCGUAAAGCGUGCGCAGGCGGUUCGUCAAGUCUGAUGUGAAAGCCCCGGGCUCAACCUGGGAACUGCAUUGGAUACUAGCGAGCUUGAGUGUGGCAGAGGGGGGUGGAAUUCCACGUGUAGCAGUGAAAUGCGUAGAGAUGUGGAGGAACACCGAUGGCGAAGGCAGCCCCCUGGGCUAACACUGACGCUCAUGCACGAAAGCGUGGGGAGCAAACAGG